GUAAGGUGAUAUGAACCGUUAUAGCCGGCGAUGUCCGAAUGGGGAAACCCAGUGUGAUUCGUCACACUAUCGUUAACUGAAUACAUAGGUUAACGAGGCGAACCGGGGGAACUGAAACAUCUAAGUACCCCGAGGAAAAGAAAUCAACCGAGAUUCCCCCAGUAGCGGCGAGCGAACGGGGAGCAGCCCAGAGUCUGAAUCAGCUUGUGUGUUAGUGGAACGGUCUGGAAAGUCCGACGGUACAGGGUGAUAGUCCCGUACACCAAAAUGCACAGGUUGUGAACUCGAAGAGUAGGGCGGGACA
rnacentral:rRNA from 1 species